GACGAACGCUGGCGGCGCGCCUAACACAUGCAAGUCGAACGAGCGAGAGAGAGCUUGCUUUCUCGAGCGAGUGGCGAACGGGUGAGUAACGCGUGAGGAACCUGCCUCAAAGAGGGGGACAACAGUUGGAAACGACUGCUAAUACCGCAUAAGCCCACGACUCGGCAUCGGGUCGAGGGAAAAGGAGCAAUCCGCGUUGAGAUGGCCUCGAGUCCGAUUAGCUAGUUGGUGAGGUAACGGCCCACCAAGGCGACGAUCGGUAGCCGGACUGUGAGGUUGAACGGCCACAUUGGGACUGAGACACGGCCCAGACUCCUACGGGAGGCAGCAGUGGGGAAUAUUGCACAAUGGGGGAAACCCUGAUGCAGCGACGCCGCGUGGAGGAAGAAGGUCUGCGGAUAGUAAACUCCUGUUGUGGAGGAAGAUAAUGACGGUACUCAACAAGGAAGUGACGGCUAACUACGUG
rnacentral:rRNA from 1 species